CAAUAUCCACCACAACUAGCGGUCCCAGUCCCUUGUUAUCUAUUUCUCAACGAUCAAACCUCUAUUUUCAUUGUAACAAAAUCAAUAAUAACAAAACAAAACAAAACUACAUGCUCCUCUCAUCGGAGAGUGGAGACCAAUAAUCAACCAUCAAACCAAACUGGUGAUUGCUCCAAAUCUCUCUCUGCUUCAAUCUUUCACACAUACUACCAGGUUUGCUGUUAACUUUACUAGUUUCUGUGCCUUUUACCAUUUCUCUGUAGUUUGCCAAACUAAUACUGAGUUUGUUAGAGUUUAUUUAUAGAAUGUGUUGACUUUGGAUCAACUUAUUUUUUUCUCUAAAUCAAUUCUGGCACUUAGAAACUAUUCAUAGAAGCUUCUUCCUGUAAUUGAUUUGACUCAUAGGUAAGCAUAAGCUCUUUUUCAUAAGCUUUCUCAAAUACUUGCAUAAGCACUUAGCUUGUAAGUUAAGCUCAAUAAGCUCCUCCAAGCAGGUCAUAAGUUGUUUUGAGCUUAUUUUUAAUAGCUACUUAAAUUAGUGUUUAAACAUAUUUUAAACUAUUUUGAGUUUAUUUCAAUGCGUUUAUGUUGAGUGGAGAGUCUAGAGACGCGCCUGAAUAAGAGAGGGAGACACAGACUUGAAAUGACAUUGAGGCCCAAUUUAUAUACACAAAGCCUAGGGAAUGGAAAUGAAAUGAUUCACAAUUUGAAACAGAUUAUGGGCCUAAAGCAUGUUUCAUUUUGACACAAAAACAUAACCCUAGAUUAUAUUUAAUUCUCUUUUUUGGUUGUCUUGGUCUUAAAUUAGAAUCAGGAAAUAGCAAGACUGGUCUUGAAGUAGAAGUGUAGAACCAUGGAUGGUUAGCUAACUAAUUCCUGCUUAUACGUUAAAUCAAUUUGAAAGAAUGUUAAUGAUCAUAUAAGUUUGUGAUGAGUUCAAUAAGUUUGACAUAAUUGAACAUAUGUAUCUUUCCACUUGUAGGUGUAUACCGUGUAUGGUUAUUGAAGUCUAAAUAUAUGAUUCAUGUUGUUGAUAAUCUGUUUAUCUUAUGACAUUCUGUGCAUGAUGUCCAUGAUCUAAUUAUCAAAUGCUCAUUUUGCCUUUUAUCCACAACAAGGAAAAAAAAAGGCGUCAUGCACAUGGCAGCUUGUGGUUAGCUUUGCUUUGGGGCAACAAACACGUACAAGGAAAAUGUAAGGUUGUCACUGCCGUCACUGCACUAGAACAUUCAAUAUCCACCACAACUAGCGGUCCCAGUCCCUUGUUAUCUAUUUCUCAACGAUCAAACCUCUAUUUUCAUUGUAACAAAAUCAAUAAUAACAAAACAAAACAAAACUACAUGCUCCUCUCAUCGGAGAGUGGAGACCAAUAAUCAACCAUCAAACCAAACUGGUGAUUGCUCCAAAUCUCUCUCUGCUUCAAUCUUUCACACA
rnacentral:lncRNA from 1 species